GUCGGCCACUGAAAAGGCAGCAGCUAUCAAAUAACUUAAUUCACUGGUGUCACAGAACGGGAGGGGAGGAGAGGUGCCCCCCUUCAGAGCAGGAGCCCGGCGGCAGAUGACUCCGUUGCCUCCCAGAGUUCUGCCUCUGUACAUGGGGCAUUUCUUCAUUUGGCAGAACUGUGAAUCAGUGCUGGUGUGGUGGACCGUGACACACUGCGCACCAAGUACAGCCCAGUGGAACGCAUGUAUGUGACUUCCUGGUGAUGACAUCACCGGAAGUGUGCCUCGAUGUUCAGCCCAGGACGCGGUGUCCCGGCUUUGUGUCUCCACAUUCAGCCCUCCCCCUUAGUUAGAGCAGCUGUGGCGUCUCUGUUGCUGCGCAACCGCCGCCACUGCACCAUUCUCCUCCCUCCUGCACGGUCAACCCCCCUGGGCGCGUGUGUGACAUCACUUUGCAGGCGCCACUCGGCGGGACACUGGGAACAAGCACCGCACAUCAAGGCUUGCUGCCUCCUUAUAUAAGGGUUUUUUUUUUUUUUUUUGCAUACGUCACUUUAUAUGCACCUGAUGAAAAGUCCGUGGAGCCUUGAAACGUUGUGUUAAUA